AGCAACUUUAGCAUAGUUAAGCAGUUUUAGUGUACAGAUUAUGCUUCUGCAGUCUCAGUGUCACUUAGGAAUUAAAUCACUUUGAUUAUGCUCCCUAGCCAAACCUCCCUCCAUCUGACUUGCACAGCCUUCCUAAACACUUCCUGUAAAUAUAUAUCUAAUGAUAACACUUAAUUUAUUGCAAAUUCUGUUUAAUUUAGAAUCUCUUAAGCUGUUAAUAGUGUGCUAGACCUUACAGGAGCCUCAUGUGUGUAAUUAAAGUGUGCUAUACAGAGGCGGAAACUUUUAAC